rnacentral:rRNA from 1 species
GAUGAACGCUGGCGGCGUGCUUAACACAUGCAAGUCGAACGGAAAGGCGCUGAUCUUGUGGCGCGCUCGUGAGGCGCGCGGGUGAGAAACACGUGAGUAAACUGCCCCUGACUUUGGGAUAACUCUAGGAAACUGGGGCUAAAAUAGCAGAGGAGCUCUUGCUGCAUGGGGGGGGUUGGAGAGUUACGGCGGUUGUGGCUGGGUUAGAGGCUUAUCAGCUGGUUGGUGGGGUAGUGGGUUACCAAGGCUUCGACGGGUAGCCGGCCUGAGAGGGUGACCGGCGGCAUAGGGACUGAGGGACGGCAGAGACUCCUACGGUAGGGAGCAGUGGGGAAGAUUGCACGAUGAGCGGAGGCCGGAUGAAGCAGCUCUGCGUGCGGGAUGACUGUCUUCGUGGGGUAGACCGCUUGCGCCUGUGACGAAGCGUGAGUGACGGUAACGGAUAAAGAAGCACCGGCUAACUACGUG